AUUUAGAUGCCAGAGCCCCUGCACAAAGACAAUUAAACCCCCUUCUCAUUAAGGAGAGGUAAAGUGGUGAGGAAUUGAGCUCCUGUCAGGACAGCACCAAUGUGGGUACUGCACACUCCAGUCAGGGACACAGUCUGUCAACCACACACUGAUGCUUUUGUCUGGCCUUUGUCCUUUAGGAAUUGUGGGUGAUUGGAAAAACCACUUUACUGUGGCCCAGAAUGAGAGGUUUGAUGAUAUCUAUAAGCAAAAGAUGGACAGAACCUCUCUAAACUUCUGCAUGGAACUCUGAUCAAGAUGAGAAGAUAGACAUCAAGGACAGGAGUCUGUCUGCAAGCCUCAAUCCAGCCAAAGGAAGAUCGGAAAGCAAACUGUAAAUGCCAAGGACUGUGACACCGACUCUGUUAUUACUGACAUCACAUUACAAUUCACAAAAUCAGAUUAUGUCCAGUGUAUACUUUCUCCACUAUUCAGUACAAAUCAGUAAGACAGCUUAAUAAGCUAAUAAAUAAACAAACUUGAAUAGU
rnacentral:lncRNA from 1 species